rnacentral:rRNA from 1 species
AUUGAACGCUGGCGGCAUGCUUUACACAUGCAAGUCGAACGGUAACAGGCCGCAAGGUGCUGACGAGUGGCGAACGGGUGAGUAAUGCAUCGGAACGUGCCCAGUCGUGGGGGAUAACGCAGCGAAAGCUGCGCUAAUACCGCAUACGAUCUAUGGAUGAAAGCGGGGGACCGAAAGGCCUCGCGCGAUUGGAGCGGCCGAUGUCAGAUUAGGUAGUUGGUGGGGUAAAGGCUCACCAAGCCGACGAUCUGUAGCUGGUCUGAGAGGACGACCAGCCACACUGGGACUGAGACACGGCCCAGACUCCUACGGGAGGCAGCAGUGGGGAAUUUUGGACAAUGGGCGCAAGCCUGAUCCAGCAAUGCCGCGUGCAGGAAGAAGGCCUUCGGGUUGUAAACUGCUUUUGUACGGAACGAAAAGGCUCUGGUUAAUACCUGGGGCUGAUGACGGUACCGUAAGAAUAAGCACCGGCUAACUACGUGCCAGCAGCCGCCGUAAUAC